CAACUGAGGAGAGGAGGUAUUUCAUGUGCAGCAUGGAAAAACACACCACACACAUCACAUAAUCUCAGAAAAAGCAACUUUCACCUCCUCUUUGUCUUUUCAAAGUAUAACAAAUGCAUCCAGGUCUCUUGACAGACGGAAACUUAGUUGAUGUGUUUGUGUUUGAGCCUUCACAAUCCUGCCCCUAAGGACUUGAAAGAAAACGAAAGUCUAGGAGAAAGCAAGUCAUUGAGGAUGGAGGGCAGAGGACCAAUGAGAAACAGGAGCAGUAAUGACCAAUGUGGUUGGAAGAUGCCCAUCAUGAUGCUGAACUUCAAAACUAUCACCAUCUUGGCCAUGUUGAAAAGCUCUAGAUGGAGCAAAAAGAGACAGAGCUCUUGUCCUACUGAACUCUCAUCAGAACUCCUAGAUGUAUGCUGAUUUUCCACGUCAAUAAGGAACCUCUCCAGAUACCCUGCUGCUGUUUUGGGUUUAUGCAAUCCUACAAUCUGUAACAAAUCCUUUGUUGUGACAUGUCUAGAUGAACGCCACACAUCCAGAAAUUCUUCUUUGAGAAAAGAACAGUGUGACCAAAGGUUAGCAUCUUCAUGGGAAUGGCUGGAAAUUUCCUUCAAACUAUUUUCCUUUGAUUCAUUCUGAAACACAUAUGCAAGAAGCUCAUGUUCUUGUUUAUAUGCAAUCUCUAUAGUUAAUCCUCAUUAGAUAAAUACCAUCUGUGGGUCUAUUUUUGAGCUGUUUCUUAAUGUCCUACCAAUUUGAGUAGCUAUUCAAAUUUAGCUGACUAAUAUUAAGUAUAAAUAGAUGUUCACUUGUUUUAUCAGAAGUGGUAUUCCAGCUGGGCAUGGUGGUGCACACCUAUAAUUCCAGCCUUCUGGAGGCUGAGGC